rnacentral:rRNA from 1 species
UUAGUGGCGGACGGGUGAGUAACGCGUGGGUAACCUGCCUUGCACUGGGGGAGUAACACUUAGAAAUAGGUGCUAAUACCGCAUAAGCGCACGGUCCUGCAUGGGACAGUGUGAAAAACUCCGGUGGUGCAAGAUGGACCCGCGUCUGAUUAGCUGGUUGGCGGGGUAAAGGCCCACCAAGGCGACGAUCAGUAGCCGGCCUGAGAGGGUGGACGGCCACAUUGGGACUGAGACACGGCCCAAACUCCUACGGAAGGCAGCAG